GGAGCUUGGGCAAAGGCUGGGGCAAGAGGGGCGCCAGAGUCCAGCCGCGCAGGACGGAAAACCGUGGCCCGCCCCCUGCCGGCGGUGGUGCCCCAACUCUCUCCCCUGCCUGUAAAACCCGAUCGCAAUGGUUGCUUGAAUAGUCUUCUUUACUGUCUUUAACAAAGAGUUAUCCAAAUUCAGAAGAUCAUGUUAUUCUAAAAGUCUGUGGGACCUGGGGGCUAGAAACCAAUGUCCUCUGGAUUGCUGAGAAAAUUGCUUUUGAGGAAAGAUGUAGAAGCUGGUGGCUGCACCAGAAGAGGAUGUCUGAGCUCACACCCCACCUACAGGCCCACAUGAUUUGUCUUCUAUAUGGAUUGUGUCUUUAUCAGGCAAACAUUUAAAUUUAUAAUCUUAGAAAGCAAUUAGAUUUGAAACAAAAUCAAGUUCAAAACAAAACAAAACAAAGAACAUGGUACCAUAUGACAAAAAGUGAGUCAUA